CCCGCUGAACUUAAGCAUAUUAAUAAGCGGAGGAAAAGAAACCAACAGGGAUUCCCUUAGUAGCGGCGAGCGAAGCGGGAGGAGCCCAAGCUCUGAAUCUGGGCGCGCGCAUCUGAGUAUCGCGCCCCGAAUUGUGGUCUCGCGGCUGGCAUCGCGGACGCGGUCGCGCGAGCAAAAGUCCCUUGGAAAAGGGCGCCAGGGAGGGUGACAGCCCCGUCCUUUGGCUCGCAGCGGUAGCCGUGUCGAUCACGCGUUGUUCCAUGCCCCAGAGUCGGGUUGUUUGGGAAUGCAGCCCUAAGCGGGUGGUAAAUCCCACCCAAGGCUAAAUAUCAGCGAGAGACCGAUAGCGAACAAGUACCGUGAGGGAAAGGUGAAAAGGACUUUGAAAAGAGAGUCAAAAGUGCUUGAAAUUGUUAGGAGGGAAGCGAUCGGCGCCGGCCUCCCACAGCCGCCCCUCCCGGAGCUGUUCAGCCAGCGGGCGUCGUCAAAAAACGCCGCUGGUGCACUCAGCUCUGAGGGUGCGGGCCAGCAUCAGUUCGGCUAUUUUGCGGUGGCUGACGGCCUUCAGGCGAUUUGGGCGGUGACGGACCUGGCUUCGCGGCCAAAGUCUGCUGCCGUCAGCUUGGAGUGACCCGCUGCACCGCCCGGACUGCCCCACCACGCAGCCUGCGUCCUUUAUUGGGCCGGCGGUUGGGCGUCACCGUGGCGGGUCCAUGCGUGGGUGACCAUAAAAUGGCCGCUCGUGCGUUGGGCCUGUCGCUCGUUGGCGUCCAGCCCCAGCAGUGUUUAAUGCGAUUGCUGGCCAUCAAAUAUAUUUAAAAACCAUAUUAACGACGCUGAUCGACCCGUCUUGAAACACGG
rnacentral:rRNA from 1 species